UACGAAGGGGGCUAGCGUUGUUCGGAUUUACUGGGCGUAAAGCGCACGUAGGCGGAUCGUUAAGUCGGGGGUGAAAUCCUGGAGCUCAACUCCAGAACUGCCUUCGAUACUGGCGAUCUAGAGUCCGGAAGAGGUGAGUGGAACUCCUAGUGUAGAGGUGGAAUUCGUAGAUAUUAGGAAGAACACCAGUGGCGAAGGCGGCUCACUGGUCCGGUACUGACGCUGAGGUGCGAAAGUGUGGGGGAGCGAACAGG
rnacentral:rRNA from 1 species